ACGAACGCUGGCGGCGUGCUUAAUACAUGCAAGUCAAUUGAAGUACCGGUAGCAAUACUGGUACAACCGAUUGGCGCACGGGUGAGUAACACGUAGGUAAUCUGCCUACAGGACCUGACAUAACCCCCGGGAAACCGGAGCUAAUAUCAGAUGAUGCAGCGUGCGGCUCUUACAUGGAGACAGUUGUUAGACCUUCGGGGCCUGUAGAUGUAGCCUGCGUCCCAUUAGAUAGUGGCGGAGGUAAAAGCCCACCGAAGUCGACGAUGGGUAGCUGGUCUGAGAGGAUGAUCAGCCACACUGGAACUGAGACACGGUCCAGACUCCUACGGGAGGGCAGCAGAUAAGGAAUAUUGCUCAAUGGCCGCAAGGCUGAAGCAGCAACGCGCCGCGUGAAGGAUGAAGAUCUUCUUGGUUGUAAACUUCUGUAAAAUGGGAGAAACUUCCCCCUCUGGGGGAAAUGAUAGUACCAUUGGAGUAAGCCCCGGCUAACUACGUGCCCAGCAGCCGCGGUAAUACGUAGGGGGCGAGCGUUGUUCCGGUAUUUACUGGGUGUAAAGGGUGCUCAGGUGGUUUUGUAAGUCAGAGGUGAAAUUCUAAAGCUUAACUUUGGAACUGCCUUUGAUACUAUAGAACUUGUGUACGGAAGAGGCUGAUGGAAUUGCUGGGUGUAGCAGUGAAAUGCGUAGAUAAUCAGCAAGAACACCAGUGGCGAACGCGGUCAGCUGGUCCGUUACAGACACUAAAGCACGAAAGCGUGGGGAGCAAACAGGAUUAGAUACCCUGGUAGUCAACGCCCUAAACGAUGAAUACUAGAUGUUGCGGGUUAAAACCGCAGUAUCGUAGCUAACGCGUUAAGUAUUCCACCUGGGGAGUACGAUCGCCAAGGUUGAAACUCAAAGGAAUUGACGGGGGCCCGCAGCAAGCAGUGGAGCAUGUGGUUCAAUUCGACGCAACGCGAAGAACCUUACCCUGGGCUUGAAACGCAAGUUAAUCUCUGGUGAAAGCCGGAGGUCCCGCAAGGGGAACUUGUACAGGUGCUGCAUGGUCUGUCGUCAGCUCGUGCCGUGAGGUGUUGGGUUAAGUCCCGCAACGAGCGCAACCCUUAUUCUGUAGUUGCCACCCGAGUAAUGUCGAGCACUCCUAAGAAGACUGCCUACGCAAGUAGUGAGGAGGUGGGGAUGACGUCAAGUCCGCAUGGCCCUUACGCCCAGGGCCACACACGUGCUACAAUGGCAACUACAGAAGAGCUGCCUAAACCGCAAGGUCAUGCCAAUCUCUAAAAGUUGUCUCAGUUCGGAUCGGAGUCUGAAACUCGACUCCGUGAAGCUGGAAUUGCUAGUAAUCGUGGAUCAGGCACGCCACGGUGAAUACGUUACCCGGGCCUUGUACACACCCGCCCGUCUAAGCCAUGGAAGUUGGGGGUACCCGAAGCCGCCUCAAGCGUCUAAGGUAAAACCAAUGACUGGGGCU
rnacentral:rRNA from 1 species